UACGGAGGAUCCAAGCGUUAUCCGGAUUUAUUGGGUUUAAAGGGUGCGUAGGUGGCGAGGUAAGUCGGAUGUGAAAGCUCGGAGCUCAACUCCGAAAUGGCAUUGGAAACUACCUUGCUCGAGGGUUGGAGGGGGGACUGGAAUACUUGGUGUAGCAGUGAAAUGCGUAGAUAUCAAGUGGAACACCAGUGGCGAAGGCGAGUCCCUGGACAACUCCUGACACUGAGGCACGAAAGCUAGGGGAGCAAACAGG
rnacentral:rRNA from 1 species